CCUGAUCAUGGGGCAAGAAUACCCACCAUAAAAAGAAGAAAAUUGGUCCAAGAGGCCCCACAUUCCCCAAUUGUAAAACUGGCAGAUUGGAAGGGAAAAAAUGGUAUCAGGAUUCCAGCAACUCAAGAGUGAAAAAAUGAAAUGGAGUGCAUCCGGGAAUGCUUCCAAGCCCAUCUGGAUUCCUGCACGCAAUUUCCAACAAUGCCGGGAAGAUGGUGCAGCUCUCCUUGAGGAAUAACAAGAUGCUGGAGCCACAGAGCUCCUCCCAGGAGAUGUAAUGCAACCUGGCAGGACCUGAGAGACCUGGUGCAUUGCAUUCAAGGGCGAAAUCUCUCUACUGCCCUCCUCUCACCCAUUGCACUUUGAGUAUAUCUCAUCCUGCUGUCUGCUCUUCCUGUUACUGCUUCUUCCUCCCAAGUUCUUAUCUGGCAAUUUUAAGUAAGAUAAAGUUACAGUGGAAUUAAUAAAAUUAUUGGGACUGUAAA